ensembl:lncRNA
AAUAAAACCAGGAGUUGUUAUGACAGAGAAACCGCCUGGAAUUGUUAAUCUAACAAAACGCUUUCCAUCAAUAUUUCACAGAUGGCAGAUUUGUCAAGCAGAAUUGCUUUGUUUUUGCUUUUUUUCCCCUAUGGAUUCAAGUUGCUUGAUGUCUUCCCUUUUUGCUGUUACUAAAAGCCUUGUUAACUCUGAGUAAAUGAGAAAAGGAUCUGUCUCUUGGGGGCUUUGCAGGGCCAGUCUUAUGACUGUGGAACUAUAAUGGUUUGUACUGAAAGAUGGUUGUUUUCAAAUGACUUCCAGCCAUGUGCUGAGGUUAUGGCUUUUAAAAGCCAAGUAUCUCAAGAAGCAUGCUGGGUUACAAAACAAAUCAGUGUUUCAUGUGUUUCUGCAGUAGAAAGAGAGGUCUGUGCUGCUAGGAGGCUUCGAGUGUGGAGCAAUUAUAGAUCUCUGGGUUAUUCUUAGAGGCGCUCCCCUUUAGUGUUCACUCAGGCUGCUGGUUCUCACACUGCAAGACCUCUGCUGACCGGGGACCAAGUUUCAGGCUGUGCUCUCUGGAUUCACAGCAUCAGACAUGAGUAAGUGUCACAGUGAGCUGACACAGCAGGAGCGGGGACUGUUGAAAGUUCGGCGGGACAGUGACACAAAGGCGGCUGAACUCGCCAAGAUGGAGAAAAUGCUGCAGCAGACCAAGAGCCUGAUGGAUAAGAAGACAGAGUCAGGUUCAGACAGUAUGGCCUUCCAGGAAAACUUAGUGGAGGACCUGGAGGAAAAGGUGAGAUCAAGCAGGCGCUACAGGAGAAACUCUCUUCAUCACACGCAGAUGCUGGAGAGCCAGAUGAAAACGGUGAAGGGAGAGCUGGUGGGCACUCUGGAUCACCUGCAAGAGCUGAGGAACGUCUUGAGACGUUCACAGCAGAAAGCAGAAGAACGAAAGGCUACAAUGGAGAAGCUAGCAGCAGGGCUCAGAUGAACCAAAUGGCUAAAGUCUACACAAGCGGGACAGAAGUGUCCACUUUCAGUCGCUGUGCAAGAAAACAACCUUCUACUUUUGGAAAUUUCAAUGACUAUAAACAAAAAUGUCGCAGAUCCUCCUGCAUGUCUUCAUGCAAGUGAGCUUUAUUUUUAAAAUCUUAAGUGUUUGAAGAGAAUUACUGGAUUGUGUCAGAAACACAAUAAAUUUGGACAAGUGUUGGAAUAAACUUUCAGCUAAGUGGUCCAGCUAUGGAGAACUGUGAUGGAGGUGUGUUGAUUGUGGUUAUAAAACGCACUCAUUGACUGUGUUGUGACUGUGUGUGAAUGCUUAAACAAUUCCUUGAAUUUUUCUAGUUUGAUGCAUUUAUAGAAUGAUUUGAUCUGUUACGGCAACACAUCGAAAUAUCUAAAUUUGGAGUUUCUGGAGCAAAAGAAAUAAUUUGAGUUUUUCUUUUUUCCAAAGUAAUUCAAGUUGCCCGGACACCGAAAUAGAAUAUAAUACAGAAAAACAUUGAACAUUUUUAAAUAAUUUAUUAUAAAAAAUGAAUAAAUGCAAAGCUAGCUUCAAAAGCCAGUGCAAAAAAUGAGGGUUUUAGUUUUAGAUAAAAAACAAGAAGAGCUGGACCGGCUCUAACAAUGGGAGGGAAAUCAUUCUAUACUGCAGGAAAUUGGAAACUUCAGAGGAAGCCAAUUUCCUUGGAGCCCAUAGAUGCAGAAGCUGAUAAAUAUAAUAAAGCUAAAACCACCUAAAGCCUUGAAAAUUCAGUGUCCAAACUAGCUGCUCUCUUUAGCUCAAUGAUCAGUUCCGCUGUGUAGUUCUGGGCUUUUUCCUCAUUGUUCUCGAGAUCAUUUGUGCUUCACCAGGUGAGAUUUUCCAUGGAGCUCCAGGUGGAGGGAGAUAAUCAAUGUUCUUGUAUUCAUUACACUUUCUAAUAAUUGCUCCAACAGUUGAUUUCUUCUCAACAAGCUGUUUGCUUAUAAUAGAUUGGUUCAUCCCAGUCUUGUCCCUGGUGUCAUUUCACAGCUUUUUGGUCUUAAUCGUGGCGGGGAAAUUAGAGUCUAAGGGUGUAGACAGAUGUAAUUUAAAGAGAUAACAGUUUAAACGAGUGACAUUAAUACUGGUAACUAGAGGAAGAUAACAGAACUUCUAAAAGAAGAAGCAGCAGGUCUGUGAGGAACAGAAUUUAUCCUUGUUUGAAGGAACUUUAUACUUAUUUUCUGCACCAUCAUACAAAUAAACUCUUCAAAAGUUAACACAAUGUGAUUUCUUGGAUUAUUUUUUUACAUUCUUUCUCUCACAGUUAGAGUAUGUCUAUCCUGAACAUUACAAACCAAACUCAUCUUUUUAAAGUGGUCAACUUGGGGACAUUUUUGCCCCGUCCGGGUCUUUGAAGUUGGUUUUACAAUUCUGUUUGUGUUUGCUCCCACCCCAUGCAGUAAUCUCUUUAAAAGACAGCAGGAACCUCAAAUAUUUUGGCUUUGGUCUGACUAGUCAAAUUAGCCAAUCAGAGGAGACCUAGCAUCAAGGGAGCGGAUACCGGAAGCUAAAACAUUUGUGAGAAGAAGGGAGGAGGAAAAGAUGUAUGAUUGUUUACUAAGUACAAUAAGUUUUCAACACAAAGAUGAAAGCUGUUGUGAAGGUGUAAAUGACUAAUAUUAGUCUUAAAAACCUAAUCAGUCACUGACCGGAGUGAAG